AACUUCAAUUUUUUCAUUGUAAGACCAAUCUCCACUGUCUUCAGGUCAUUAGAACGGGCUUUCUCCAUGAAAAAUUUCUCAAUAGUGCUGCAAUGAUUGAUCACAGAACCUAAUGAGCUUGGAACACAAGCCUGUUGGAUUAAUUGUGCAUUUGAAGCAAGUUCCUGGUUCAAGCAAGGAACACUCUCUUCUACUUCUUCAGCAACAUGCACUUGAUUAUGAACAGAGACAGAAGGCAACUCAGUUGCUAAGAGACAUUCCCUGAUGCCAGAG
rnacentral:misc_RNA from 1 species